rnacentral:rRNA from 1 species
UACGUAGGGUGCGAGCGUUGUCCGGAAUUAUUGGGCGUAAAGAGCUCGUAGGCGGUGUGUCACGUCGUUCGUGAAAACCUGCAGCUUAACUGUGGGCGUGCGGUCGAUACGGGCAUCACUGGAGUUCGGCAGGGGAGACUGGAAUUCCUGGUGUAGCGGUGAAAUGCGCAGAUAUCGGGAGGAACACCAGUGGCGAAGGCGAUCCUCUGGACGGAUACUGACGCUGAGGCGCGAAAGCUAGGGGAGCAAACGGG